rnacentral:rRNA from 1 species
UAGGGAAUCUUCCACAAUGGGUGAAAGCCUGAUGGAGCAACGCCGCGUGUGUGAUGAAAGGUUUCGGCUCGUAAAACACUGUUGUAAGAGAAGAAUGACAUUGAGAGUAACUGUUCAAUGUGUGACGGUAUCUUACCAGAAAGGAACGGCUAACUACGUGCCAG